rnacentral:rRNA from 1 species
GUACACAAAAAUGCACAUGCUGUGAGCUCGAUGAGUAGGGCGGGACACGUGGUAUCCUGUCUGAAUAUGGGGGGACCAUCCUCCAAGGCUAAAUACUCCUGACUGACCGAUAGUGAACCAGUACCGUGAGGGAAAGGCGAAAAGAACCCCGGCGAGGGGAGUGAAAAAGAACCUGAAACCGUGUACGUACAAGCAGUGGGAGCACGCUUAGGCGUGUGACUGCGUACCUUUUGUAUAAUGGGUCAGCGACUUAUAUUCUGUAGCAAGGUUAACCGAAUAGGGGAGCCGAAGGGAAACCGAGUCUUAACUGGGCGUUAAGUUGCAGGGUAUAGACCCGAAACCCGGUGAUCUAGCCAUGGGCAGGUUGAAGGUUGGGUAACACUAACUGGAGGACCGAACCGACUAAUGUUGAAAAAUUAGCGGAUGACUUGUGGCUGGGGGUGAAAGGCCAAUCAAACCGGGAGAUAGCUGGUUCUCCCCGAAAGCUAUUUAGGUAGCGCCUCGUGAAUUCAUCUCCGGGGGUAGAGCACUGUUUCGGCAAGGGGGUCAUCCCGACUUACCAACCCGAUGCAAACUGCGAAUACCGGAGAAUGUUAUCACGGGAGACACACGGCGGGUGCUAACGUCCGUCGUGAAGAGGGAAACAACCCAGACCGCCAGCUAAGGUCCCAAAGUCAUGGUUAAGUGGGAAACGAUGUGGGAAGGCCCAGACAGCCAGGAUGUUGGCUUAGAAGCAGCCAUCAUUUAAAGAAAGCGUAAUAGCUCACUGGUCGAGUCGGCCUGCGCGGAAGAUGUAACGGGGCUAAACCAUGCACCGAAGCUGCGGCAGCGACACUGUGUGUUGUUGGGUAGGGGAGCGUUCUGUAAGCCUGCGAAGGUGUGCUGUGAGGCAUGCUGGAGGUAUCAGAAGUGCGAAUGCUGACAUAAGUAACGAUAAAGCGGGUGAAAAGCCCGCUCGCCGGAAGACCAAGGGUUCCUGUCCAACGUUAAUCGGGGCAGGGUGAGUCGACCCCUAAGGCGAGGCCGAAAGGCGUAGUCGAUGGGAAACAGGUUAAUAUUCCUGUACUUGGUGUUACUGCGAAGGGGGGACGGAGAAGGCUAUGUUGGCCGGGCGACGGUUGUCCCGGUUUAAGCGUGUAGGCUGGUUUUCCAGGCAAAUCCGGAAAAUCAAGGCUGAGGCGUGAUGACGAGGCACUACGGUGCUGAAGCAACAAAUGCCCUGCUUCCAGGAAAAGCCUCUAAGCAUCAGGUAACAUCAAAUCGUACCCCAAACCGACACAGGUGGUCAGGUAGAGAAUACCAAGGCGCUUGAGAGAACUCGGGUGAAGGAACUAGGCAAAAUGGUGCCGUAACUUCGGGAGAAGGCACGCUGAUAUGUAGGUGAAGUCCCUCGCGGAUGGAGCUGAAAUCAGUCGAAGAUACCAGCUGGCUGCAACUGUUUAUUAAAAACACAGCACUGUGCAAACACGAAAGUGGACGUAUACGGUGUGACGCCUGCCCGGUGCCGGAAGGUUAAUUGAUGGGGUCAGCGCAAGCGAAGCUCUUGAUCGAAGCCCCGGUAAACGGCGGCCGUAACUAUAACGGUCCUAAGGUAGCGAAAUUCCUUGUCGGGUAAGUUCCGACCUGCACGAAUGGCGUAAUGAUGGCCAGGCUGUCUCCACCCGAGACUCAGUGAAAUUGAACUCGCUGUGAAGAUGCAGUGUACCCGCGGCAAGACGGAAAGACCCCGUGAACCUUUACUAUAGCUUGACACUGAACAUUGAGCCUUGAUGUGUAGGAUAGGUGGGAGGCUUUGAAGUGUGGACGCCAGUCUGCAUGGAGCCGACCUUGAAAUACCACCCUUUAAUGUUUGAUGUUCUAACGUUGACCCGUGAUCCGGGUUGCGGACAGUGUCUGGUGGGUAGUUUGACUGGGGCGGUCUCCUCCUAAAGAGUAACGGAGGAGCACGAAGGUUGGCUAAUCCUGGUCGGACAUCAGGAGGUUAGUGCAAUGGCAUAAGCCAGCUUGACUGCGAGCGUGACGGCGCGAGCAGGUGCGAAAGCAGGUCAUAGUGAUCCGGUGGUUCUGAAUGGAAGGGCCAUCGCUCAACGGAUAAAAGGUACUCCGGGGAUAACAGGCUGAUACCGCCCAAGAGUUCAUAUCGACGGCGGUGUUUGGCACCUCGAUGUCGGCUCAUCACAUCCUGGGGCUGAAGUAGGUCCCAAGGGUAUGGCUGUUCGCCAUUUAAAGUGGUACGCGAGCUGGGUUUAGAACGUCGUGAGACAGUUCGGUCCCUAUCUGCCGUGGGCGCUGGAGAACUGAGGGGGGCUGCUCCUAGUACGAGAGGACCGGAGUGGACGCAUCACUGGUGUUCGGGUUGUCAUGCCAAUGGCACUGCCCGGUAGCUAAAUGCGGAAGAGAUAAGUGCUGAAAGCAUCUAAGCACGAAACUUGCCCCGAGAUGAGUUCUCCCUGACUCCUUGAGAGUCCUGAAGGAACGUUGAAGACGACGACGUUGAUAGGCCGGGUGUGUAAGCGCAGCGAUGCGUUGAGCUAACCGGUACUAAUGAACCGUGAG